rnacentral:rRNA from 1 species
GACGAACGCUGGCGGCGUGCUUAACACAUGCAAGUCGAGCGGUAAGGCCCUUUCGGGGGUACACGAGCGGCGAACGGGUGAGUAACACGUGGGUGACCUGCCCUUAGCUCUGGGAUAAGCCUGGGAAACUGGGUCUAAUACCGGAUAUGACUCCAUGACGCAUGUUGUGGGGUGGAAAGCCUUGUGCGGCUAGGGAUGGGCCCGCGGCCUAUCAGCUUGUUGGUGGGGUGAUGGCCUACCAAGGCGACGACGGUAGCCGGCCUGAGAGGGCGACCGGCCACACUGGGACUGAGACACGGCCCAGACUCCUACGGGAGGCAGCAGUGGGGAAUCUUGCGCAAUGGGCGAAAGGCUGAGGCAGCAACGCCGCGUGCGCG